UGUCGUGAUGAUGGCACUGAGGUCACACCUGUUCCCAUACCGAACACAGUAGUUAAGCUCAGUAGCGCCAAAAGUAGUUGGAGGAUCGCC
rnacentral:rRNA from 1 species